AUACGGGGGGUGCAAGCGUUAAUCGGAAUUACUGGGCGUAAAGCGCGCGUAGGCGGUUUGCUCAGUCGGAUGUGAAAGCCCAGGGCUCAACCUUGGAACUGCAUACGAUACUGGCAAACUAGAGUGUGAGAGAGGAUAGUGGAAUUUCCGGUGUAGCGGUGAAAUGCGUAGAUAUCGGAAGGAACAUCAGUGGCGAAGGCGACUGUCUGGCUCAACACUGACGCUGAGGUGCGAUAGCGUGGGUAGCAAACAGGAUUAGAAACCCUAGUAGUCC
rnacentral:rRNA from 1 species